rnacentral:rRNA from 1 species
UACGGAGGGUGCAAGCGUUAUCCGGAUUCACUGGGUUUAAAGGGUGCGUAGGUGGGCAAGUAAGUCAGUGGUGAAAUCUCCGGGCUUAACCCGGAAACUGCCAUUGAUACUAUUUGUCUUGAAUACUGUGGAGGUCAGCGGAAUAUGUCAUGUAGCGGUGAAAUGCUUAGAUAUGACAUAGAACACCAAUUGCGAAGGCAGCUGGCUACACAGAUAUUGACGCUGAGGCACGAAAGCGUGGGGAUCAAACAGG